rnacentral:rRNA from 1 species
CCUACGGGAGGCUGCAGUGAGGAAUAUUGGUCAAUGGGCGAGAGCCUGAACCAGCCAAGUCGCGUGAGGGAGUACUGCCCUAUGGGUUGUAAACCUCUUUUGUCGGGGAGCAAAAGCCGGACGUGUCCGGCUGUGAGAGUACCCGAAGAAAAAGCAUCGGCUAACUCCGUGCCAGCAGCCGCGGUAAUACGGAGGAUGCGAGCGUUAUACGGAUUUAUUGGGUUUAAAGGGUGCGCAGGCGGAGUUUUAAGUCAGCGGUAAAAUCGUGGGGCUCAACCCCAUCCAGCCGUUGAAACUGGGGAUCUAGAGUGUGCGAGAGGUAUGCGGAAUGCGUGGUGUAGCGGUGAAAUGCAUAGAUAUCACGCAGAACCCCGAUUGCGAAGGCAGCAUACCGGUGCACAACUGACGCUCAGGCACGAAAGCGUGGGUAUCGAACAGGAUUAGAUACCCUUGUAGUC